rnacentral:rRNA from 1 species
UAGUUGGUGGGGUAAAGGCCUACCAAGGCGACGAUCAGUAGCGGGUCUGAGAGGAUGAUCCGCCACACUGGAACUGAGACACGGUCCAGACUCCUACGGGAGGCAGCAGUGGGGAAUUUUGGACAAUGGGGGCAACCCUGAUCCAGCCAUUCCGCGUGAGUGAAGAAGGCCUUCGGGUUGUAAAGCUCUUUCAGCUGGAACGAAACGGUACGCUCUAACGUAGCGUGCUAAUGACGGUACCAGCAGAAGAAGCACCGGCUAACUACGUGCCAGCAGCCGCGGUAAUACGUAGGGUGCGAGCGUUAAUCGGAAUUACUGGGCGUAAAGCGUGCGCAGGCGGAUUGUUAAGCAAGACGUGAAAUCCCCGGGCUUAACCUGGGAAUGGCGUUUUGAACUGGCAGUCUAGAGUGUGUCAGAGGGGGGUAGAAUUCCACGUGUAGCAGUGAAAUGCGUAGAGAUGUGGAGGAAUACCAAUGGCGAAGGCAGCCCCCUGGGAUAACACUGACGCCCAUGUACGAAAGCGUGGGUAGCAAACAGGAUUAGAUACCCUGGUAGUCCACGCCCUAAACGAUGUCAACUGGUUGUUGGGGGAGUGAAAUCCCUUAGUAACGAAGCUAACGCGUGAAGUUGACCGCCUGGGGAGUACGGUCGCAAGAUUAAAACUCAAAGGAAUUGACGGGGACCCGCACAAGCGGUGGAUGAUGUGGAUUAAUUCGAUGCAACGCGAAAAACCUUACCUACCCUUGACAUGUCCAGAAUCCUGCAGAGAUGCGGGAGUGCCCGAAAGGGAAUUGGAACACAGGUGCUGCAUGGCUGUCGUCAGCUCGUGUCGUGAGAUGUUGGGUUAAGUCCCGCAACGAGCGCAACCCUUAUCAUUAGUUGCUACGCAAGGGCACUCUAAUGAGACUGCCGG